UCGACCGGUGCGGCGCCUGCGCACUGGAACCAGGCGUGCGGCGCCCCAGGCGCCGGGCCUGCGGCGGCCGGAACCGGAACGCGCGCCCGCGGGGUAGGAGACCUGGAGCUGGAGAACCCGCCCGCCAGAGUCGUAGUAGUGGAUGGGGAGUAGCCGUCCCAUUUUCAACACAUGUCUCAUUCUAAAUUGACGUUUUGGUGGGCUGGCCGAAGAAGGAGAAAGACCCGCGGCUCCGACCUCUGACCUCUAACCCCGGACGCACUUUGAUUUCGCCGGCUUGCGCGGAAGGCUGACUCCCUGGGCCGCGGCCUGGCGCGGGAGCCGCCUGUGGGGUGUCCCCGGCGCGGGAGGGUGCUCUGGUUCAGGCCCGCUGCCCAGGUAUGCACAAGUCAAGGCCUUUUCUGCAGACCAAGUAGCCUUCCCUGGAGAGCGCCCCCAGCACCACGGAAACUACCUACAUGCCCCGCGGUGGUCAGCCCGCCUUAUCCCAGCCCCGAGACCCAAAACAAGAAGCAUGGACUGAAUUUGAGGUUUCUGGAUGGUCGUGUGAACCGAGGGGACGGGUACUGGACUGACAAGAAAUGAGCCUUGAAGGUCAAUCUGGGUGACACCCGAGUCUCCUGAUGGAGUUUCACUAUGUUGCCCAGGCUGAUCUGGAACUCCUGACCUCAAGCAAUCCACCUGCCUCAGCCUCCCAAAGUACUGGGAUUACAGGAGGGAGCCACCGUGCCCGGCCUGGUCCUGUGCAUUUUAUAGAUAAGGUAACUGACAAACCUAGCCACAGUCACCCCUUCGCCCUAAAGGAGAACUGGAAUUUGAACCCAGAGCCUUCUUCACCACCAUCUCCGUUGUUUCUGGAAGCACCCUCCAGGCAGGCCAGCCAGCAUCACGGGGCCUCCCCUGGGGCUGGAACGUCUGCAGGAUGCCCCUUUGAGAAAUGCUGUUCCACAGAACCCUGCCUUUCAGGCCUUGGAGACGUGGGCAGGGGAGAAGCAGCGUCCCUCAGAGCCAGGCCUGGCAGUGGUGCUAGCAGGGGCCAAGGCCCAGGGAGCAGGGUCUCCUGUCGGAGGGACCUGGGCAAGCCCCUCCACGCGCCAGCGGGUUUCUCAGCAGGGGAGGUCCACACCACACCGCUUGGGAACCUGGGUGCCUAAACGCAACAGGAGCCAAGGCACAAAUUUAACCAAACACCAAGGUUGCGUGAGGCCCCAUUUCAUGAGCCGGGCUCCAAGGACGUGUCCUUAGGCGGCUCUGGAAGGCCCAGCGCCAGCCCCCGUCCUCUGUUAAAGGGAGCCAGCCCCGCGGCUCCGCCCAGGCAUGGUAGCCUGAGCGCGCCCCCAGGGUAGUAGGGGGCACCUGAGGAGCAGGGUCUGCCCUGGCAUGAGCAGAGCCCAGGAUGGGGUCAGGGUCAGGCCCUGCCAGAGGCUGGAGGGUGCCCAAGGCGAGGCCGGUGAGGCCCAGCUCUACAAAUAAAGUGUUUUAUUUACAGGA
rnacentral:lncRNA from 1 species